rnacentral:tRNA from 1 species
GAGGGUACAGCUCAGCGGUACAGUGCGUGCUUGGCAUGCACGAGGUCCUGGGUUCAAUUCCCAGUACCUCCA